rnacentral:rRNA from 1 species
GCAGUCGAGCGAACAUCUUGCGGAAGCCUUCGGGUGGAAGCAAGAUUGACUGAGCGGCGGACGGGUGAGUAACGCGUGGGUGACCUGCCUCAUACAGGGGGAUAACAGUUAGAAAUGACUACUAAUACCGCAUAAGCGCACAGUGCUGCAUGGCACAGUGUGAAAAACUCCGGUGGUAUGAGAUGGACCCGCGUCUGAUUAGGUAGUUGGUGGGGUAACGGCCCACCAAGCCGACGAUCAGUAGCCGACCUGAGAGGGUGACCGGCCACAUUGGGACUGAGACACGGCCCAAACUCCUACGGGAGGCAGCAGUGGGGAAUAUUGGACAAUGGGGGAAACCCUGAUCCAGCGACGCCGCGUGACUGAAGAAGUAUUUCGGUAUGUAAAGGUCUAUCAGCAGGGAAGAAAAUGACGGUACCUGACUAAGAAGCCCCGGCUAACUACGUGCCAGCAGCCGCGGUAAUACGUAGGGGGCAAGCGUUAUCCGGAUUUACUGGGUGUAAAGGGAGCGUAGACGGCGAUGCAAGUCUGGAGUGAAAGCCCGGGGCUCAACCCCGGGACUGCUUUGGAAACUGUGUUGCUAGAGUGCAGGAGAGGUAAGUGGAAUUCCUAGUGUAGCGGUGAAAUGCGUAGAUAUUAGGAGGAACACCAGUGGCGAAGGCGGCUUACUGGACUGUAACUGACGUUGAGGCUCGAAAGCGUGGGGAGCAAACAGGAUUAGAUACCCUGGUAGUCCGCGCCGUAAACGAUGAAUACUAGGUGUUGGGGAGCAAAGCUCUUCGGUGCCGUCGCAAGCGCAGUAAGUAUUCCACCUGGGGAGUACGUUCGCAAGAAUGAAACUCAAAGGAAUUGACGGGGACCCGCACAAGCGGUGGAGCAUGUGGUUUAAUUCGAAGCAACGCGAAGAACCUUACCAAGUCUUGACAUCGGAAUGACCGGUCCGUAACGGGGCCUUCCCUUCGGGGCAUUCCAGACAGGUGGUGCAUGGUUGUCGUCAGCUCGUGUCGUGAGAUGUUGGGUUAAGUCCCGCAACGAGCGCAACCCUUAUCCUUAGUAGCCAGCAGGUAGAGCUGGGCACUCUGGGGAGACUGCCAGGGAUAACCUGGAGGAAGGUGGGGAUGACGUCAAAUCAUCAUGCCCCUUAUGAUUUGGGCUACACACGUGCUACAAUGGCGUAAACAAAGGGAAGCGAAGCCGUGAGGUGAAGCAAAUCCCAAAAAUAACGUCUCAGUUCGGAUUGUAGUCUGCAACUCGACUACAUGAAGCUGGAAUCGCUAGUAAUCGCGA